AUGGCUUCUCAUGGCGAUGUGGGGUCACAGGAAGGCACGGCGGCGGCGCCGACGCACGCCGGCAUGGCCGAGCUGGUGCCGGCGCUCCCACUGGAGACGCGGUGCCCACCGUUCGCGCUGCGGCGAUACGCCGGGUUCUGGCAGCCGGAGGGGGUGCUCAGGCGCGGCCUCCCGACGUUGCACGCGCGCUUCGCGCCGAGGCCCACGGACGUGCUCCUUGCCAGCUUCCCCAAGUCCGGCACCACAUGGCUCAAGGCCCUCGCCUUCGCCACCCUUCACCGCGACGCCCACCCGCCGUCCUCCGACGCCGACCACCCGCUCCGCCGCCGCAACCCGCACGACUGCGUCCGGUUCCUGGAGGUCGACUCCGCUCUCGAGCACACGAUCGAGGCGCUCCCUUCCCCGCGCCUGCUCGCCACACACCUGCCCUACUCCCUCCUACCCGAGCGCGUCGUCUCCGCCGGCGGCCCCCGGAUCGUGUACGUCUGCCGGGACCCCAAGGACGCGCUGGUCUCCUCGUGGUUGUUCACCAGGAAGGCGUCGGCGAGCGCCGGGGUCGACGGGGAUGCGUUCUCGAUGCAGGAGGCGUUCGAGCUGUUCCGCGAGGGCCGGUGCUGCUGCGGCCCGCAGUGGCGGCACGUGCUCGAGUACUGCGAGGCGAGCCGCCGUCGCUCCGGUGGCGGGGGCGAGGUGUUGUUCCUGAGGUACGAGGAGAUGCUGCGCGACCCGGCGGCGAACCUGAAGACGAUGGCGGAGUUCAUGGGUUGCCCCUUCUCCGAGGAGGAGGUGGCGGGAGGGGUGGUGGAGGAGAUCGUGGACCUGUGCAGCCUGGAGAAGCUGAAGAACAUGGAGGCCAACAGGGACGGGCGGUGGAACGUGUCGGGCAUCAGGAGCGACGCUUUCUUCCGGAAGGGGGUCGCCGGAGACUGGAGCAGGCACAUGUCGCCGGAGAUGGGGAAGAUGCUGGACAAGACCGUGGAGGACGCGCUCCAGGGAUCUGGGUUCAGCUUCGCGGGCUCAGCUCCGGCGAGCCACUAA
rnacentral:rRNA from 1 species